UAAAACAGAGUGUGUUGGAACUUUCUUUGGAUGACUUUCCUUUUUCAAGGUUUUUGGGCUACCAGAAGGUCUUCCUCGCUUCACGGAGAUGUAUCAGUGACACACGAUAGCUGGGUGAUUUCCAAUUACCAUCCUCCGUAACUUUGUCUCGUAAACACUCUUCAAGUUGAAAGCAAAACAUAGUUUUUCCUCCAAAUAAGCAGCAAGUCCGGGAACUGUUAGUUGCUUAUUACGAGAUAAAUAUACCAUUCGAUUUAACUUUGUUCUUGAAUGGAACAGAAAAGGAUACAAUUGAGCAGUAUAUAAUAUGUCAGGCUCGUUAAUACUGAAGCGAGACAGCAUUGUAUACAUUCUAUUCAUCUACUAAACGAUUUCACUCGACCACAAAAAUUUAUGGCUUCUCGCUUUCAUGGCCAUCUUACUCAUUCUCGGACUUCUCUCUCUGUCGGUGAAUUUGAAUAAAGACGAGAACGAAGCAUGUUGCUUAUUUCGAGACGAAACUAUAGCGUUGAACUAAUUUUCUUUGUCUCAGACUCUACAAGAUGUCGUCGUUAACAGGCAACUUCUGUUGGAGUGUAACAUAACCGGAAUCGACUGGGAGACAUCAACCCCGUUCAUCGAAGUUCAUGGCGAGGGUGUCAGGUUACGGAGAUUUCAACAGGAACCCGAACACGAUACUCGCUCGACAGCUUCCCAUCGAGCUCAAACGCAUUUUCUAUCCUCUUCCAUAUCCAAUCACCUGCUAUCCAAUCCUCUUCUAUCUAAUCUUCGCUUUCUCUUCACCCUCUUUCCCCCGUUUCCGGUUUUUGUUUUACAAUAUUUAUUUUUCUCCUCUUUUGCAGACUAGCGUGACUCAUUGAUUUUUUUCUUAAUUAUUUCUUUUUCCUUUUACGAUAUUCUAUUUAUCGCCUCUUUUUUCACAUAUACGAGUAUGUAGAUUGUACGUGUGUACGUACAUACGUAGAAUCUGUUUAACUCGCCCUGUGGCUCUCUGUCAGCGCAAACUCGGCGUUAUCGACCACUCGCUGGAACGCAACCGCCGACGUUUGUGUAUCUCCGUGCCAGUGGUUUCCAAAGUGCACCUCUGCACACCUCUGCACACCUCAAAGAGAUCCAACGCACGUAGGAUAUUCUGGGAAUUUUUUCGAAUUUCCUCAUACAUUUCUUUUCUUAGACUCUUUAUGGUUCCGGUUGUCCGUUGGCUAUUGAAAUCAUUUGGGGUAUUUGUUUUUAAUUAACCUUUUCCAGAAUUUUCCAGAAUUUUCCAGAAGCGAAUUACCGAAUUUUCGGCGACCACUGUACCAUUAAAAAUACUUUUUCCACAAUUUUUUAUUUUGAAAUGAAAAAUAUUAUUGAAUUUGGAGAAAAAUAUAAAAAUAUUUGGCCUUUCUACGUGCAAUUUCUUUUUUCAGAAUUUCCAAGCUUCCACGAAGUGAGUCACUUAAUUUGUAAAUCACCCUGUUUUUUUCUUUUUUAAUAU
rnacentral:lncRNA from 1 species